rnacentral:rRNA from 1 species
GCAUAUCAAUAAGCGGAGGAAAAGAAACCAACAGGGAUUGCCUCAGUAACUGCGAGUGAAGCGGCAAAAGCUCAAAUUUGAAAUCUGACACCUUUGGGUGCCCGAGUUGUAAUUUGGAGAGGCAACUUCGAAGGAGGCGCUGGCCUAAGUUCCUUGGAACAGGACGUCGCAGAGGGUGAGAAUCCCGUGCUUGGCUGGCUGUCCUUCUUCAUGUGAAGUGUCUUCGACGAGUCGAGUUGUUUGGGAAUGCAGCUCAAAAUGGGUGGUAAACUCCAUCUAAGGCUAAAUAUUGGCGAGAGACCGAUAGCGCACAAGUAGAGUGAUCGAAAGAUGAAAAGCACUUUGAAAAGAGAGUUAAAAAGUACGUGAAAUUGUUGAAAGGGAAGCGCUUGAGACCAGACUCGGUGAUUGGUGAUCAGCGGUUGCUUUUGCUCCGUGCACUUGCCUUUCACUGGGCCAGCAUCAGUUGUGACGGCGGGAUAAAGACCGGGGGAAUGUGGCUCCCUUCGGGGAGUGUUAUAGCCCUGGGUGUAAUGCCGCCUGUUGCAACUGAGGACCGCGCUUCGGCUAGGAUGCUGGCAUAAUGGUCUUCAGCGACCCGUCUUGAAACACGGACCAAGGAGUCUAACAUCUAUGCGAGUGUUCGGGUGUAAAACCCCUACGCGGAAUGAAAGUGAACGGAGGUGGGAACUCCUUGGAGUGCACCAUCGACCGAUCCUGAUGUCUUCGGAUGGAUUUGAGUAGGAGCAUAGCUGUUGGGACCCGAAAGAUGGUGAACUAUGCCUGAAUAGGGUGAAGCCAGAGGAAACUCUGGUGGAGGCUCGCAGCGGUUCUGACGUGCAAAUCGAUCGUCAAAUUUGGGUAUAGGGGCGAAAGACUAAUCGAACCAUCUAGUAGCUGGUUCCUGCCGAAGUUUCCCUCAGGAA